rnacentral:lncRNA from 12 species
CUUAGAAUCACUGUUACUUUUUUUUUUUUUUUUUAAUCCAUUUCUGACAACAGUUUAAUCACCAUUCUACUUCAGGGGUUUCAUAUAUGCUAUCGCUUGACCUAGCAUUCUAUGUCUACCUGACACCCCUUUGACCUAAUAGAUGACUCCUAUGGUGAUACAAAGAUGCGCCACCUCUAAGAAGGAUUUAUUGUCUGGGCCACUGGGAGUACUACUGAUAGGCAGCUUCAACCUUGAGCCUAUUUGGGGAUUGCCUCAGCUGUAGGAAACUGCCUUGUCCAAGGUUGUACUCUUCUUGGAGAGGCCCACAACCAAUGACUGAAUAAGGUGGCAUAUAAAUGGACAAUUCUGACAAACCAUUUUAGCUCCAGAGCUCCCUAUGUGGCCAGCUGAGUCAACCUCAUAGCUUGACUUCUCCCUCUGCUGAAUCUUGUUCCUCUCCCUUCCUUUCACAAAUGUGGAUCCAGUGACUCUCGGAUAAACAUUCUGCCCACUAAACUGCCUCAGAGUCUGCUUCUAAUUACUCCUCCAGAGGUAUGCUUGGCUUCCUUAUGGAAGCUAUCUAGCUAUCUAGCUAUAUAUUAAUGUUCUAGGGCUACUAAAACAAAUACCCACAAACUUAGUGACUUCUUAUAACAACAAAAAAGGUAUUUUUUCACAUGUCAAAAGACUAGAAUUCUGAAAUCAAGGCUUUGGCUGGGCCAUGCUCUCUCUGAAUGAUUGCUCUCAGAGGGGAUCUUUCCCUGCCCCUUAGAGCUUCUGGUGGUAUCUGACAAUCCUUUAUAUCCCUUGGCUUGGAAAUGCAUCACUCUAAUCUCUGUCUAUCUAUGCAUGGCCUUCUACCCUGUGCCUCUGUGUUUCUGUGUCCAAAUUUCCCUCUUCUCAUAGGGACACCACUCACAUUGGAUAUCAGGCCCACCCUAACCAGUAUGACUUCAUCUUGACUAUAUCUAUAAAGGUUCUAUUUCUAAUUAAGCUGCAUUCACAGGUUCCAGGACUUAGGACUUCAAGUUAUCUUUUUGAGGACAUCAUUCAAUCCAUAAGCUCAAUCACAAAGACAUAUUUCAAUGGAUUUCACAUUAUGGACUGUAAAUUUGCUCCCUAAAGAAAAGCUUCCUGUUGCUGCAUUCAUUCCAGAUUCCUCAGCAAUCUUGGAAACAUUGCCAAUGCCUUUCCUACAGUGAGGCACUGCUCUGUCUGACCCGGGCUCCAAUGAUCUGAUCAGUGACUUGACGAGUGUACUGGCUCUACUAACACAGUCCAAAACACACGUGCUUUUGACAACCACAUCACAUUCUUGACUCCUGCUAAUCUUCUGGUCAGGUGAUCCUUCCAGGUCUCUUUAGUAUGAAUCACUGCUUAGUGUGAAUCGAAUCCACUUUGAUCUACUUUAGGGAAAUAAACAAAACUGUGAAAUGCCCA